UGGGGAAUAUUGGGCAAUGGGCGAAAGCCUGACCCAGCAACGCCGCGUGAAGUAUGAAGGCCUUCGGGUUGUAAACUUCUUUGAUCAGGGAAGAAACAAAUGACGGUACCUGAAAAACAAGCCACGGCUAACUACGUGCCAGCAGCCGCGGUAAUACGUAGGUGGCGAGCGUUAUCCGGAUUUACUGGAUGUAAAGGGCGUGCAGGCGGGCUGAUAAGUCAGAUGUGAAAUCCCCGAGCUUAACUCGGGAACUGCAUCUGAUACUGUUGGUCUUGAGUGCUGGAGAGGAUAGUGGAAUUCCUAGUGUAGCGGUAAAAUGCGCAGAUAUUAGGAGGAACACCAGUGGCGAAGGCGGCUAUCUGGACAGUAACUGACGCUGAGGCGCGAAAGCGUGGGUAGCAAACAGG
rnacentral:rRNA from 1 species